rnacentral:rRNA from 1 species
GAAUUGCUAGUAAUGGCAGGUCAGCAUACUGCCGUGAAUACGUUCCCGGGCCUUGUACACACCGCCCGUCACACCAUGAGAGUUGGAGAUACCCGAAGCCUGUGAGCUAACAGAAAUGGAGCAGCAGUCGAAGGUAGAAUCAAUGAUUGGGGUGAAGUCGUAACAAGGUAAC